GCACUCCACUCAAGGUGGCAGAAGAUUCCUUUUCUUGUGGAGACCCAACCCCAUCAAGAGAAAGAUUUUUCUCUUAGUCCAUGAGGGACCCUCACAUCCUCCCCAUAGUAAGAAAUACUAAACCCCCUAUCACCUCAGAAAUCUAGUUUGUCUUUAAAAGAUUCUACCAAUCCCUCUUGGAAAGAGGUUCCAAUUCCAGAUUAAGGCUUUCCUCUCCAGGGGGCAGUGGUGGGACAAAAAAAAGCUAUCAGCCUGGGUGUUAACAGCUGAGGGAGGACAUGCUUGCUUCUUUCAGACAGGAUCCCGCUAUGUAGUUUGGCCUGGCCUUGAAUUCACUGUGUAGCCCAGGUUGGCCUGGAACUUGUGGCAAUUCCUCCCGAGUGCUGGGGUUACAGGCAUGUGCCACCACGCCCAGCUCCAGGACAUGCAUUCUUGUGUCCUAUGAACCAGGUGGGAGCAGGUUGAGGGAACUUUGAGGGGGAAUUAGUGGAUUCAUUGUCUCGGGGAGGUAAGCGGAGGGUCAAGCUGAUCAUAGGACUUUUUUUGAGGCCUUGUCACAGGAGUGUAAGGGAGAGAAAUUGAGGCAAGUGGAACUUAGUACGUGUCACAGAAUAGAUAAUGUGCUGAGUGAGCAGGGUAAGGGACAGGGCAUUGGAAUUAGGAGACCUGGCUCUCCACUGAUUAGCACUAUCCCCUCAGAUACAUUAUACUCACCCUUUCCGGGUCUGUUUCCUCAUCUGCAGUAUAGGGCUUAGAGCUUGGCAUGAUGAUGCACACCUGUGAUCCCAGCACUCUGGAGGCUGAGGCAGGAGGAUCUCUGCAAGUUUGAGGCCAGCCUGUGCUACACAGUGAUGAGUUCAAGGUCAGCCUGAACUACAUAGUGAGACCCUGCCUAAGUAUAUAUAUUAAUAUAUAUAAUAUAUAAUAUGAUUUAUAACAACCUUUCUGUCUUUCACAGCGCUUUUGUUAGAACCAAACAAGACAUGGUCAGCUGGAAAUGUAACUCAGUGAUACAGUGCUUGCCUAGCUUGUAUCAGGCCUUGGGUUCAAGCCCCAGCACAGCCAAAACAAGAUAUGCUCAAAACCUGGUUAUAGCCAGGUGUGCUGGAGCAGCCUAUAAUCCCAGCACUCAGAAGGCUGAGCAGGAGGAUUGCCGUGAGUUCAAGGCCAGCCUGACCCUAUCUCAAAAAAAAAAAAAAAAAAAAAAAAAAAAAAGGAAGAAAGGAAAAGAAAAACAAACCUGGCAAUAA
rnacentral:lncRNA from 1 species